rnacentral:rRNA from 1 species
AAUGAACGCUGACGGCGUGCUUCAGACAUGCAAGUCGUACGAGAAAGUUCUCUUCGGAGAGCGAGUACAGUGGCGCACGGGUGAGUAACACUUAGGUAACGUACCUUUUCGCUGGGGAUAACUGGAGGAAACUCCCGCUAAUACCGAAUGACCCCAUCUUUACUGUGGUUUAGAUGGGGAAAGCCGCAAGGCGCGAAAAGAGCGGCCUGAGUCUCAUUAGCUUGUUGGUAGGGUAAUGGCCUACCAAGGCUACAAUGGGUAGCUGGUCUGAGAGGAUGAUCAGCCACACUGGUACUGGAACACGGACCAGACUCCUACGGGAGGCAGCAGUUAGGAAUAUUGCGCAAUGGGGGAAACCCUGACGCAGCAACGCCGUGUGAGUGAUGAAGGCUUUCGGGUCGUAAAGCUCUUUUAGUAGGGAAGAAACAAAUGACGGUACCUACAGAAAAAGCACCGGCUAACUCCG